rnacentral:tRNA from 1 species
GAAGGUAUAGUCCAAGUGGUAGAGCGCAUGCUUAGCAUGCAUGAGGUCCUGGGUUCAAUCCCCAGUACCUCCU